AUGUUAGCUUGCUAACAAGCGUCGAGUGGCGGACGGGUGAGUAACGCGUAGGAAUCUACCAAAUAGCGGGGGGUAGCCCGGAGAAAUCCGGAUUAAUACCGCAUAAUCUCUACGGAUUAAAAGGGGGGCCUCUAUUUAUAAGCUUUCACUAUUUUGAUGAGCCUGCGUAAGAUUAGCUUGUUGGUGAGGUAAAAAGCUCACCAAGGCGACGAUCUUUAGCUGGUCUGAGAGGAUGAUCAGCCACACUGGGGACUGAGACACGGCCCCAGACUCC
rnacentral:rRNA from 1 species